rnacentral:rRNA from 1 species
UACAGAGACUGCAAGCGUUAUUCGGAUUCACUGGGCGUAAAGGGUGCGCAGGCGGCCAACUAAGUCGGAUGUGAAAUCCCCAGGCUUAACUUGGGAACUGCAUCCGAUACUGGAUGGCUUGAAUCCGGGAGAGGGAUGCGGAAUUCCAGGUGUAGCGGUGAAAUGCGUAGAUAUCUGGAGGAACACCGGUGGCGAAGGCGGCAUCCUGGACCGGCAUUGACGCUGAUGAGCGAAAGCCAGGGGAGCAAACGGG